rnacentral:rRNA from 1 species
UGUUCAGGGGUAAACCUGUGGUUCCCGAAAGUUCGAACGGGGAGAUUCAAUUGCCUCGCCGGUUAUGACCAUUUAACAGUGAUGUGUUUAUAUAUAUAUUAGAGACAUUAUAUGGGCGGUUGCGGGUUUAUUCUCGUAGCUGUUUUACCGUGUAGUGCUCCACUGUUUUAUGAUAUAUAGUUUAUAGCCGGAGGCGUGCACUUCUCCCCUUGUAGGACGUCGUGACCCAUUGGAUUAUGUUGUCUAAGGCUUAUAAUGGAGACCGUGGCAUUAAGUUUCGGCUUAAAUGACCCGGACUUAUGAUGUCCCGACAUCUAUCCGAUGGUAUAAUUAUGAUGAUAGAUCGCUAUAAAUGCGUAUGAGCGUUCAGAUCCAUAACAAAUUCUUUAUAUGUUCAUAAUAGUGGAAAUCGGAUUUAAUGCCGGAUCUACACAUAUGGUAUUGAUGGUUGUGGUAUUCUCGAACCGUUCUUUAUCAUCAGUCAACGGCGUUUAUGUUUUGGGUAAUUACAGGACCCGUCUUGAAACACGGACCAAGGAGUCUAGCAUGUGCGCAAGUCAUUGGGACUUUGUGAAACCUAAAGGCGUAAUGAAAGUGAAAUAUUUGUGAAUUUUCGUAAUUCACUGAAUUUAAGGGAAGAUGGGUAACGUUUUUUAUGUUACCUCGCAUUCCCGGGGCGUCGCGUACUUAUUGCAAGUUGCGGCGCACCAAGAGCGUACACGCUGGGACCCGAAAGAUGGUGAACUAUGCCUGGUCAGGAUGAAGUCAGGGGAAACCCUGAUGGAGGUCCGUAGCGAUUCUGACGUGCAAAUCGAUCGUAUGAACUGGGUAUAGGGGCGAAAG